CCCACCCCCACGAGAUCCCAUAUAAAACUGUGAAAAAAAUGCAAAUCGCUGAACUGUCUUGAGUGAAAACGAGAAAAUGAAAUCUCUUCUUUGAAAUUGAAGUUUCAUUCAACCUGUUCAUUAAAUUACACGCACAAAUCAUAGAGAGAGAGAAUGGCGGAUGCAUCAAAUGGGCCGGCGAGCUUUUGGACGCAGGCAGAUGCUUUGUUAAGGAAGAAUUUAACUUUUCAGGCAUGUUUCUUUCUACACCCUGUUUUUCUGUGUGAUUUGUCCCUUUGGUUUUUCUACCUUGUGGGUGUUUUGUAUCUUAAGAUCAAAUUCUCUGGCUUAUAGUUCUAUGCUAUUGCUGCUUCUUUAUUAAUAAUACUGAUUUGCUACUUUUGCCUUUUCGUCAUUAAAUUAUUUGGUAUUGUGUAACUUUUAGAAGGUCGGGUUAAUUUUUCUGUUUAUUGUUUAACAGAUUCUGGAUUAUUUGAAGGGAAUAUCUGUUUCAUAUUUAGUAAUAACUGAUAGUAUCAUAUCACUUUUAUGACAGUGAGAAUUGUAUUGUAUUAUUCCUUCUACUAGUUCAUUUGAAUUCAUUAAUACAAUUCUAAUUUUUGUUGAUUCUGAAUUUACAAUUACGUGGGUUGAUUUUUAAUGCAAAUACAUGGAUUAUUUCAAUUUUAGUAACAUAAUGCUGAUUCAAGGUUACUGAUAGGCUGAUAUUUCCAUAUUGUCACAUCUAUUCUGCACUUAUGAUCUUUAUUUGGUAUUGUUAUGAUUAUUUUCUGAUUUUUAUUCCUUUGUUUCGACUCAAUUUAUCUAAUUAUCUUAGAUAAUGCGAUUCACAUCACUAGUUCCAAGGUUAUGGAUUGCAAAAUUAGAAUUUUCUCUUAAAGAAUCAUUUUUUAUUCCUUUUAAUGCUUGUGAUGAUGGUGUUUCAUUUUUCCUCUUUCAAUCGCAGAAACGAAAUUUGAGAACUAAUAUUCGACUCGUCAUAUUUCCAUUUUUCCUCUGUCUGUUGCUGGUUCUGAUUCAAAGUCUGGUCAACAAAGAAUUAGAUAAACCCUCAAACAGGUGUGGUUGCACUUGUGUUGAUACUAAUGGUGAUGGUCAAUGUGAGAAGAAGUGCGGGAUUGAAUACUCAACUCUGGACCAAGUGGGCACCUGUCCCAUUCCUCACCCACCAGAAUGGCCACCUCUAUUACAAAUACCAGCACAACGUUAUCGUGCAGUAAGAACUGAUUUUAUUUCAUAUUCAGACUUGUCUGAUGAAUCAUGCAAGACAACGGGUUCAUGUCCUGUAACCAUGCUUAUGACUGGAAAUAAUCAAACACUUGGACUAAGUAUGGCAUUCCUUCAUUCUAAGUUCUUUGAUUUAUUGGGACAGUUAAAUACUUGUCUUCAGCAAGUGAAAGAUCAAGUUAAUUCAUGUACGACUACAUUCUGAUAGGUGUGGCGGCAAAUAUGUUUGCAAGGAGACCUCUUAAUGUAGAUUCCUCUGAUAUUCUGUUCAGCCUAGCAGAUUAUCCAUUGGUUAGUUGUAUUUCUUAUUCUUUUUGUCCCUUCUCCCUUUGAGUUCUUUUUAAAUCUGUGAUGAGGUGCUCUCACCAACACUGCUUAUUGCCUAGAUGUGAUAUGUAUAUACACUGUCUUUAUUGUGACCUCUUGAUUAAUCCAGGGUUCCGAAUCGAAGACUCAGUUUUCCAGUUUUCUUGAGCCAGCCUUCUUUUCAAAUCUUCCAGUCUAUUAUGUUCAAUCUCAAUGUGCUCCAAACUCUGAAUUUCCUGUUUCACUUCAAAUUGGUUCUGACACAUUUCAACAAGGUAAUAUUUACAAAUUUUGUAUUAUUCUCUAGAUUUUACUGACUUCCAGAAACAGUAAUCAGAUAAUGACAUAGUCAAUUAUUUCGUUGUAUUUUUAAACGGUCUUGGUAUGAAUGGUCUAUAGUUUGAGAUUAUUGUAAAAUUUUUCACUCUCCUGCUACUAAACGUCAUUAACUAUACGCACUCUGUUUGUGUGUCCUACAUGCUUGCUCUUGCAUAACCAUGCAUUCGAGCAUAACUAAUAUAGACACACAUAACUAGUUGAAAAUCUCUCUGAUGUUCGUCUCUGAAACAUUUACAUUUUUCUUUCAUUUCUCCCGUCUAAAAUUCUUUCAUCUAAAAUUCAGAUGUAAGUUGUGUUCCUGGUUUACAAUUGUGGCGUAAUAGUUCUUCAGAGAUUAAUGAUGAGCUAUACAAGGGUUAUCGUAAAGGAAAUAAAGAAAGGAAGAUUAAUGAGAUUUUGGCAGGUUUGUGCACUAAAUAUAUGACUGUGCAUAUAAAAUUACCAUUUUAUUGUGUGAAUUUACCUCACUCUUUGCUUUUGUUUAACAGCCUAUGAUUUUUUAAACUCAAAUGCAAAUAAUUUCAAUGUGAGCAUAUGGUACAAUUCUACAUAUAAGAAUGAUUCAGGCGAUCAGCCUCUUGGAUUGACGCGGGUGCCUCGCUCAGUAAAUUUGGUACCUAGUUCCUGUCUCCUUGUUUGCAUUUAUUGUACAUGUUCUUGGUUUGUGUAAAAUUUGGAAAUUUUCAAUUUGACUUAGCCUGAAUUUGUGAACUGUCUGGAUAAGUGCACUUCUGUAGAAAUGUUUAAACUCUUGAUGAGAUUAUGAAAUAUAUAUUAUUUGUAUCAGAUGCUUUAGCUUAAACAAUCUCACCUAACUUAAUAUGGAGAAGUGAAAACAAAAGGUUUAGUUACAAUUUCAUCUGGCUACGUGUAUCAAAUAUUUUAGCUUAAACAAUCUCAUCUGACUUAAUACAGGAGAAGAGAAAACACAGGGUUCAGUUAAAUGACCGUGAACUGUUGAUCUUAAAUUCUUAAUGAAGUAUUAAGUUGUGUUAUUUUCACUAUCAAGCGAAAUUAGGUAUUAAAGCAUGCUAAUAUUGGCAUAUGCAUAUGCAGAUAUCUAACGCCUACCUCCAGUUUUUGCUUGGACCAUCAGUGCAAAUGCUUUUUGAGUUUGUGAAAGAAAUGCCAAAGCCUGAAACAGAACUUAGACUGGAAUUCUCAUCUCUGCUUGGACCACUAUUUUUUUCGUGGGUUAUCUUUCAGUUGUUCCCUGUAAGUUCAUUAUAUUUGUUCCCUCAUGAUGAGUUCUAUAUUUGAAUCAAUCUUUUCAUGCAUGCAAUUUUCCCACUAUCUUGCAGUUACUAUUCUUAUUUUAGUUAUAUCUUUUCUUGAUAAAAUAACACAGUAUAGAAACUUUUAUUCAAACCUGUGUUAACUUUUUCUAUCUUCAGAAAAUUCAUCCGCUAAAUCUGUUUAGUUUAAUGCUAUAUUUUUAUAUGAUAGUUUUAAAAUUCUGAACCUAAUGAUAACUUACUGUACUGGUUUGUGAGGGAACCACGUAGCUCCCUCUGUUUGGUUCCUGUUGCUGAAAGACUUGCAAACAGUUUUGGAUGGAUGAAGGGGGCUUACCCUUACCUUAUUUAAUAGUAUAUUAUUGUUUAAUCUAGCUUUAUGCUACAUUAUAAAUUGUUAAUAUUUUUUCUUGCAGAUUGUAUUGAUAUCUUUGGUCUAUGAGAAGCAACAAAGACUAAGAAUCAUGAUGAAAAUGCAUGGACUUGGAGACUGGCCUUAUUGGAUGAUUUCUUAUGCUUAUUUCCUUUUAAUAUCUUCAAUCUACAUGUUAUGCUUUGUUAUUUUUGGUUCACUUAUAGGUAAUAAUACAGCCUAUAAAGUUCUAAAACAUUGUUACUUCACUUUUGAUAUCCAUUCGAGUUACUUAGACAAAAGUUAUUUUCAGGGCUAAAGUUCUUCACUCUGAAUGAUUAUAGCAUCCAGUUCGUGUUUUAUUUCAUCUACAUAAAUUUGCAAGUGUCAGCGGCUUUUCUGGUUGCUAAUUUGUUUUCUAAUGUGAAGACUACUACAGGUUUGACCCUAGCUACUCUACAUUAUCUAUUAUGUUGAGUAUACCUGUUUUAUUUUAUGUGAUAAAUCAUCUUGCAUACUUAUCUGUUACACAUAAUUCCUACAGUUGUGGGGUAUAUGAUGGUUUUCGGUUCUGGACUCUUGGGUGGAUUUCUUUUCCAAUUCUUUCUCCAAGACACUUCAUUCCCAAGUAAGUCAAAAAUCCAUAAACUAUAAUAGUUACGCUUCAUUGAUACAUGCCCAGUUUUUGUUCUUCAUCCUUUGGACAGGACUAAUCACUAACCUAAUGCGAAUUAUAAUGAAAAUGGAAAGUUUUAUACAAUGUGCUAAUUUAUUUCCAAAUCACAUGCUAAAAUUAUGGAUUCCUAUUGAUAUACAUGGAGAAUGGCAGCACAUUUGUCUAUAUAUUUUCACUGUUGUGGGGCUGAAGACUUGAAGGUUUGCUUUCUUCUUAUAUUUUUUCGUGCAAUAAGCUUUUCAAUUCCCUACCUUCAGUGCCCUCAAAAAAAAAAAUCUCGAGUUUUCUAGAGCUAAAAAUGCCACAUUCAUCUUGCCAAAAUAUGGUAUUUAAACUAAAAUUCUUUGAACCACCUACCCAUUAAUGUACUUCGAUCUUUGGCACAUCACAAUGCCAUGGACUAGAUAUUUUUCCAUAUUCUCAUUCCAAUUUCAGGACUAAAGGCAUUUUUCCAUAUCCUUUCUCUUUGCAAUUGAUCGCUAGAAUCUGAAACCAAUUAGUAGACUGAUUGACAAUGAACUUUGAUCUGUUAAUCGUUCAAUCUAUUAUGUUUUGACUUUGUUAUUUUCAGUGUAGUAUCUCAUAACACUACUACACUUCUGUUUUGAAUAAUUUGUCUUCUCUUUUCAUCACAAGAUUGAUCUUGUAAUAUUGCAGGAGCUGGGAUUAUUGCUAUGGAGUUAUAUCCAGGAUUUUCACUUUAUCGUGGAUUGUACGAGUUUGCACAAUACUCGUUUACUGGAAAUUAUAUGGGAACUGAUGGGAUGAGAUGGAAAGAUUUAAAUGAUAGCAAAAAUGGGAUGAGAGAAGUCUUAAUUAUUAUGUCAGUGCAAUGGUUGGUUUUACUUGGUGUAGCAUAUUAUGCAGAUCAAGUCGCAUCAUCAGGAAGAAAUCCUUUGUUUUUCUUGUGGAAGCAUCGAAAUAAGCGCUCAACAUCCUUCCGGAAACCUAGCUUUCAAAAGCAGGGUUCUAAAGUUUUUGUUGAGAUGGAGAAACUUGAUGUUGUCCAGGAGGUAAUAUGAUGUGUCAUGUUAAGCUUAUCCAUCUAAAAGCAUUAGUUAUUAAAAAGGGUACACAUUAAUUUAUCUAAUUAUUUCUUGAACAUUGCCUCCUCAUGUGCAAACAAGAUUUAUGUUCUAUCAAGUGCAGACGUGCAUAAUUUUAUAUAAGAAGAUAUGUGGGACUUGCACUCAAGAUUUCUAGCUUAUCUAAAAAUUUAAGUUUUUAGAGAUUAAACAUAUUAAUUUAUUUAAAUUUUACCUUCAACAUACCCAUAAAAUAAUAAUAAUAAUAAAUAAAUAAAUAAAUAAAUAAAUUUACCUUCAACACGUCACAUUAGUUAUAAUACUUAAAGAUACCUGACAUUGAGAUGUUUGUCAUUAUUAAUGUAUCGAAGAUAUAUGUUGUGCAAAUUUCUCUAGUUUUUUAUUUUUUAUUUCUAUCCUCGUGAACUUUGUUGUUUUUCUUUCAGAGGGAGAAGGUGGAACAGUUACUACUAGAAUCAAGUACUAGUCAUACGAUUAUUUGUGAUGACCUCAAAAAGGUAUAUUCAGGGAAGGAUGGGAACCCGGAAAAAUUUGCAGUAAGGGGGUUAUCACUUGCUCUGCCACAAGGGGAAUGCUUUGGCAUGCUUGGUCCUAAUGGUGCUGGCAAGACUUCAUUUAUUAAUAUGGUCAGUUAACAGUCUUAAUUCUUUUACUAUUUAUUCAUAUCCGUGAAGCCUUGUAUUUUUCAUUUUGUUAAAAGAUCAACUUCUGACUAAGAUAGGUUUGUUGACAGAUGAUUGGGCUCAUAAAGCCAAGCUCGGGUGCUGCAUAUGUUCAUGGACUUGAUAUACGGACAGAUAUGGAUCAAAUAUACACCAGCAUGGGCGUAUGUCCUCAGCAUGAGUAAGCAUCAAUAUUGCGAAGAUGGCAAUUUUUUUUUUUUUUCUUAUCCUCAAUUUUAUGCAUUUGGAUAUCACUUCAUGCACAUUCUAUGUACUUAUUUGCGAACGAUGCACAGUCUACUCUGGGAAACACUAACAGGAAGGGAGCAUCUACUUUUCUACGGAAGGCUUAAAAAUCUUAAAGGGGCUGCUUUAAACCAAGUAAGUCUAUAUCAUCUUCAAUCUAACAUUGAGUUAGCUAAGCUAAUCAAGUAAGUGGUAUGAAACAAAUUACAUAUGUAUAUGUACUAUAAUCAUCGUAAAACUUGGAUUAAUAAAUUGCUCAUGUAUAUUUACUUGGUGUAAAACACAACUGAACAAUAAUGGGAUUGAGAAAGAAAGAGGAAGAGAGGGAGAAAGAGAGAAGAAUGGGGGGAGAACAUAGAGAAUUCAGAGGGAGAAAGUAUGAGCUCAUUCACUAAUCAAGUCUAACUAUUACAAUGUCUAAGUUCCCUUUAUAUAGGGUUUAAACUAAUUUAAGUACGAAAGGACUAAUAAAAUAAUAGAAAACUUAAUAAAUAAAUCCUCGUAACUUUUCCUAAAAUAAGAAUCUAAACAUGGAAAGUAUUUAUAUAGUAUAUCUAAUAGGAUCUCUAUCAGUACCAUAAUGCGAUGGAUUUCUCUAUUAUGAUGUAGGCAGUCGAAGAAUCUCUGAGGAGUGUGAACCUAUUUCAUGGUGGUGUUGCGGACAAACAAGCUGGGAAAUAUAGUGGAGGUAUGAAGAGGAGGCUUAGUGUCGCAAUUUCACUUAUUGGAGAUCCCAAAGUAUGUGUACAUACUUGUCCUUCUCUUCUUGUUUGUCAUUCAGAUAUUAGUCCUCUAUAACACUUUGGUAAAGAUAAUUCUUGAAUGUUUUUGAAGGUGGUGUAUAUGGAUGAGCCAAGUACUGGAUUGGAUCCCGCAUCAAGAAAAAUGUUGUGGAAUGUUGUAAAGCGAGCAAAGCAAAAUAGAGCAAUAAUUCUCACAAGUACACACUCUCAUACUCUCUUUUCCCCAUGCAAACCUAUGCACAUGCUAUCUUCCCCCAAUCCCGCCCUCCAUCUGCGUAAACGCUCAUGCACGUACCCUCAAACAUGCAAACUGAUACACGUUUUCGUAAUAUUUCAGCACAUUCAAUGGAAGAGGCAGAGCAUUUAUGUGAUCGUCUGGGUAUUUUCGUUGAUGGCAGCUUGCAGUGUGUUGGAAACCCCAAAGAGGUCAUUUUUAUAGUUUUAGCCAACACAUCAGCAAUGCUAUGUGUUUAUAUGCAUUUUCUGAACUAGUAUGCUAUGGAAGGUUUGAGACUGAUAUUUGCUCCAACUUGAGCAUUUACGUUUAUGCUAUUUUUUGAUUUUCAGUUAAAAGCUAGAUAUGGAGGAUCAUACGUGUUUACAAUGACUACAUCCUCAAAUCAGGAGGAAGAAGUAGAAAAUUUGGUACGGCAUCUCUCUCCAAGUGCCAACAAGAUAUACCAAAUCUCCGGGACACAAAAGUUUGAGUUGCCGAAGCAGGAGAUAAUAAUUUCUGAAGUGUUCAAAGCUGUUGAGAAUGCAAAGAGUCGAUUCACAGUUCAUGCGUGGGGUUUGGCUGAUACAACCCUAGAAGACGUGUUUAUCAAGGUCGCACGAGGGGCUCAGGAUUUCAAUGUUUUAUCGUGAUAAAACCAAUAUGCCUAUACAACUUUGUCUCAUAUGUAUUUUAUUUGGACUUUAGCUUCAGAUUUUGUAAAGAAGGGAAAUAAAUUUCGAAACUGGUCCUCUAUAUAUUGCUUGUAUUGACUUCAACUGAUAUGCAUUAUGGUUAUACUUCAUGAUAAAUUUAUAUAUUUCUUUUGUGUACUUCAUUUUUUAUAUUCACCACA
rnacentral:lncRNA from 1 species